rnacentral:rRNA from 1 species
AGUAACACGUGGAUAACCUACCUAUAAGACUGGGAUAACUUCGGGAAACCGGAGCUAAUACCGGAUAAUAUUUUGAACCGCAUGGUUCAAAAGUGAAAGACGGUCUUGCUGUCACUUAUAGAUGGAUCCGCGCUGCAUUAGCUAGUUGGUAAGGUAACGGCUUACCAAGGCAACGAUGCAUAGCCGACCUGAGAUGGUGAUCGGCCACACUGGAACUGAGACACGGUCCAG